CCAGAGUCUGGAGGAAGAAUGGAGAGGCACACACUGCAAGAUGCUUGAAGUCCAGUGUGAAGUUUCCACAGUCUGUGUUGAUUUGGGGAGCCAUGUCAUCUGCUGGUGUUGGUCCACUGUGCUUCAUUAAGUCCAGGGUCAACGCAGCCGUCUACCAGGAGAUUUUGGAGCACUUCAUGCUUCCUUCCGCAGACGAGCUUUAUGGGGAUGCUGACUUCAUUUUCCAGCAGGACUUGGCACCUGCCCACACUGCCAAAAGCACCAAAGCCUGGUUCAAUGACCGUGGGAUUACUGUGCUUGAUUGGCCAGCAAACUCGCCUCACCUGAACCCCAUAGAGAAUCUAUGGGGCAUUGCAAAGAGAAAG
rnacentral:lncRNA from 1 species